CAGCAGCCGCGGUAACACGAAGGGCGCAAGCGUUACUCGGAAUCACUGGGCGUAAAGGACGCGUAGGCGGAUUAUCAAGUCUCUUGUGAAAUCUAACGGCUUAACCGUUAAACUGCUUGGGAAACUGAUAAUCUAGAGUAAGGGAGAGGCAGAUGGAAUUCUUGGUGUAGGGGUAAAAUCCGUAUAGAUCAAGAAGAAUACCCAUUGCGAAAGCGAUCUGCUGGAACUUAACUGACGCUAAUGCGUGAAAGCGUGGGGAGCAAACAGGAUUAGAUACCCGCGUAGUCCCUGUCUCUUAUAA
rnacentral:rRNA from 1 species